UCAGUCGACUCCUACGGGGGGGCAGCAGUGGGGAAUAUUGCACAAUGGGCGCAAGCCUGAUGCAGCCAUGCCGCGUGUAUGAAGAAGGACCUUCGGGUUGUAAAGUACUUUCAGCAGUGAGGAAGGUGGGUAUGUUAAUAGCAUACUCAUUUGACGUUAGCUGCAGAAGAAGCACCGGCUAACUCCGUGCCAGCAGCCGCGGUAAUACGGAGGGUGCGAGCGUUAAUCGGAAUUACUGGGCGUAAAGCGCAUGCAGGUGGUUUGUUAAGUCAGAUGUGAAAGCCCGGGGCUCAACCUCGGAAUAGCAUUUGAAACUGGCAGACUAGAGUACUGUAGAGGGGGGUAGGAAUUUCAGGUGUAGCGGUGAAAUGCGUAGAGAUCUGAAGGAAUACCGGUGGCGAAGGCGGCCCCCUGGACAGAUACUGACACUCAGAUGCGAAAGCGUGGGGAGCAAACAGGAUUAGAUACCCUGGUAG
rnacentral:rRNA from 1 species